AUGCACCUUGGGUAUCUCAUUCUCACUGCCUUCGUGAGGCAACAAGCAGGCACCAUGGGGCAGACCACUAUCACCCAGCAGGAAGGACAAGUCACAGCAGAGGAGAGAAACACCUUCCAGACCACCUGCAUCUACCAGACCAUAAAACUUUUACAGCUUGUUCUGGUACCAGCAGAAGAAAGGCCAAGUUCCACAGUGUAUCUCCUGUCAGGGAGCAGCCAGGCCCGCGUGGAGCAGCCAUCUCACCACGUUGCUGAACACCAUGGGGAAAUGCGGCCUCCUGCGGUUGGAGGAAGUCAAAGUCUCUGACAGUGCCUUGUACCUCUGUGCUGUGCAAGACACCCUGGCCACCUUCUGA